rnacentral:pre_miRNA from 1 species
AUGUGCCUGGCUCCCUGUAUGCCAUUUGCAGAGAGCUUAUCGAACAUCGAUGACCUCCGUGGAUGGCGUAUGAGGAGCCAUGCAUAU